CCCGCGGCGCCUCCCGGGUUUCCGCGUCCCGGCCGCUCGGGCUCACAGUUCCGGAGUGGAGGGAGGAAGUCCGAUCCCGCUGCCAGGUCCCCUCCCUCCAGGCCCCACCGAGAUCGCCAGGAGCGCCUGGGCAGCGCCGCGCUCCGGCCCUGGGCCGCGGCUCCUGGGAAAGAGCUCGGGUGGCGGAGCGGCCCCCACGACCUGGUUCGAAGUGGUGUGAAGGACCUAGGGGAAACGACGUCCUGCUGGCCAACCCAGAGCCGUUUGUCCUGGGAGGGACGGAAUGCAGGAGUGCAGGCCAGUACACCCAAGUACGUUUGGUUUCAAAUAACAUUGUUUAAAUCACCCAAAAAUAGCAUGAAAAUUAAAAACAAUUUGUUCGAAUUUUUUAACACGGCACACUUUUAAACAAUUUUUUAAUUGACACGUCAUACUCGUUCAUAUUUAAGAGGCACUAAAUGAUAUUUCAGUACAUGUGUAGAGCGUGCAAUGAUCCUAUCAGAAUGACUGGCAUAUCCAUCACUCAGAUAUCAUUACUUCUAAGACGUGUGAGGCUCUCACAAGGGAACCGCCGGAGCUGCAGAAAAGGCAGCAAGUGUUAGACCACUGCAACUGCUAGAAGAAACCCUAGAGUGAGGACAUAUUGGCUCAGACACUGACUUCCUUAAUAAGACUCCUAAAACUCAAGAAAUAAAACCAAGAAUCAAUAAGUAGAAUAACUUCAGAUUAAAAAGCUUCUGCAUGGCAAAGGAAACAAGAGCAGGAAGAGAUAGCCUAUAGAAUGGGAGAAAAUUUUGCCAUCUACUCUUCUGACAAGGGAUUAAUAUGCAAAAAUGUAUAAAGAACUAAACACACACACACACACACACACACACCCAAAAACAAAUAACCCAAUUAGUAGAUGGGCAAAAGAUCUAAACAGACAUUUCUCAAAAGAAGAAAUAUAAAGGGCCAACAAAUAUAUGAAAAAAUGUUCAAAGUCCCUAACAAUCAGGGAAAUGCAAAUCAAAACGUCACUGAAAUUUCAUCUCACUCCAGUCAGAAUAGCAAUCAUCAACAAUACAAAUAAUAAUAAAUGCUAGCAAGGAGGUGGAUGGGAAAUGUACAUUGUUGGUGGGAUUGCAAAUUAGUGCAACCCCUUUAGAAAACACUGUGGAGAAUCUUCAAAAGAUUAGGAAUGGAACCACCAUAUGACCCAGGUAUCUUACUCCUUGUAUUUAUCCAAAAGAACUAAAAUUAGCAUUCUGUAGUGAUAGGUCAAUAUUUGCAGAGCAUGCACAAUAGUCAAAUCGAAGAACAGCCCAGGUGCCCAUCAACAAAUGAAUGAAUAAUGAAAAUACGUUAUAUGUACACUGUGGAGUUUUACUCAGCCAUGAAGAAGAAUGAAAUUAUGUCAUUUGCUGGUAAAUGGAUGAAACUGGAGAAUUUGUUAAGUGAAAUGAACAAAAUUCAGAAAGUCAAGGCUAGAAUGUUUUUUCUCAUAGGCAGAAGCUAGAGAGGAAUGAGGAAAUUUAAGAAGGGGGGAAUCCCAUGAAAACAGAAGGGAGAAUAGUGGGUAGAGGAGAGGGAUCAAGGGGAAUGGAGGAGGGAUUAGAGGGUGGAACUGUGGAACAAAAUGGACCAAACUAUGCUGUAUGCNNNNNNNNNNNNNNNNNNNNNNNNNNNNNNNNNNNNNNNNNNNNNNNNNNNNNNNNNNNNNNNNNNNNNNNNNNNNNNNNNNNNNNNNNNNNNNNNNNNNNNNNNNNNNNNNNNNNNNNNNNNNNNNNNNNNNNNNNNNNNNNNNNNNNNNNNNNNNNNNNNNNNNNNNNNNNNNNNNNNNNNNNNNNNNNNNNNNNNNNNNNNNNNNNNNNNNNNNNNNNNNNNNNNNNNNNNNNNNNNNNNNNNNNNNNNNNNNNNNNNNNNNNNNNNNNNNNNNNNNNNNNNNNNNNNNNNNNNNNNNNNNNNNNNNNNNNNNNNNNNNNNNNNNNNNNNNNNNNNNNNNNNNNNNNNNNNNNNNNNNNNNNNNNNNNNNNNNNNNNNNNNNNNNNNNNNNNNNNNNNNNNNNNNNNNNNNNNNNNNNNNNNNNNNNNNNNNNNNNNNNNNNNNNNNNNNNNNNNNNNNNNNNNNNNNNNNNNNNNNNNNNNNNNNNNNNNNNNNNNNNNNNNNNNNNNNNNNNNNNNNNNNNNNNNNNNNNNNNNNNNNNNNNNNNNNNNNNNNNNNNNNNNNNNNNNNNNNNNAAAAAAAAAAAAAGCCUAGGAACCUGUUUGCAGAGGACCAAAAGGAUCACCUCAGAAACCCUGAGUAGUUGAGUGGGGUGUCCAUGACUAUAAUCCCAGUAGUGUGAGAGGCUGAGGCAGGAGGAUCACAAGUUCAAAUACAGCCUUAGCAACUUAGCUAGACCCUGUCUCAAAAUUUAAAAAAAUAAAAUAAAAUGGGCUGAUGAUGUGGCUCAGUGGUUGAAAGCCCCUGGUUCAAUCCCUGGUACCAAAAGGAAAAAUAAAAAGAAGCAGAAACCCUGAUCAGAUUUGAUAGAGAGCCCUGCGGGAAAGGGAACAGUCAAGACCACUCACCUGGGCAGCAGAGAAGCCAGUGGUCAAGGACUGACCAGCCACAGACAAAUUUCCUCUGGGGGGAAAAAAACUAAGGGAGUCAGAUAUAAUCAGGGGCCUAGGGUACACAAAGGUGUACACAACAGUCAGGGAUGACAAGAAAAUAUUCCUUCCAGAAAUAUUCUCUGGCACCUGCCACUCUCCAAUAUCCUUCUAGGCCCUGAAGUUGCAGAAAUAAAUGGGAGAUGGGCCUGCCCUAAAGAACUCACAGGUAGGGAAACAGAUGCAGAAAGGUGUAGUAGAAAUCAAAAGCCACAUAUCCAGGAAGGAGUGAGAACACACAGUGUGAAUGGCGAGCUCCUGAGGAAGGGGACCGAGAAAGCUCCACAGAACCACCAUUGCUAGAUGGGAACAGAUCGACAAAUAUGGCAUUGUGGUUUGGGGCAGCCUGUGCAGGCUGGCAGCCCUACAUCAAAUCCCAAACUUGCUGCUAGUUAGCUGUGUGACCUUGACCUUGGGCAAGAUAGAAAUCCCAGUGAACCUCAGUUUAUGCAGUCACAGAAUUGGAAUACUUACAGCACCUCCCUUGUAUAACUAUGCAGAGUAGUAUAUACUUAAGCACUUGGAAUAUAUAAUGCUAUGGUUUGACUAUAUCUCCAAAGGUCACGGGUUAGGAACUUAGUCCCCAAUGGAAUAGUGUUGAGAGGUGGGACCUUUAAGAGGUUAUUAGGUCACCUCUUCUUAGGAAUGGAUUGAAUUAAUGGAUGAAUGGAUUAAUGUCAUUAUCUCAGGAGUGUGUUAGUUAUCACAAGAGAAGCUUUAUUAUAAAAGCAAAUUUGUCCCUGUCUCCUGCUCUCCCUCUCUUGCCCUUCUGCCCUGUACCAGGGAUGACACAGCAUGAAGGCCCUCUCCAGAUGCUGGUGCCAUGCUCUUGGAUGUCUCAGCUUCCAAUACCAAAUAAAAUUUCUGUUCUUUGUAAAUCCCCCAGUCUGUGGUUUUCUGUUAUAACAGCACAGACAAGACACACUGCAAGCUCUCAUGAGCAUCAGCUAGUACUACUGAAUGUGCUCCUGACACAAUCUACACACAUUCACCCGUGUUUUAAACAUUAUUAAGCUUUUACCUGCCCAAUAUUAAGUAGGAAAGAAUCAUGGAGACACAGGAAUAUGAAAAGUGUUGCGAGGGGAUGGGAAGGGCACUACGGGGUACUACAGCCUGGCUUCUCCCUUCCCACCCCCAAAGCUCCUACCUAUGUCUCACAUUACCCAAAUCAGACUUCUGGGAGGUCAGGUUUCAGACGUCAGCUUCCCAGCACAGAGCAAGGUGGAGAAAGUCGGAGAGGGUAGCUGGAGGAGGUGAUGGAGAACAUCCAACACAGGUGCCAACAACUUCCUAUUGUGAGUUAUUUCUGCGUGCUCAUCACCCCUUGAUGGUGUAAUGAAUUGUAUUUUGUCCCCCCCAAAUCCAUAUGUGGAAGUCCUAAAUCCCAGUAACUCAGAAUGUGACAUAAUUGGAAAUAUAGUCACUGCAGAUGUAAUUAGUUUAAAAUGAGAUUAUUAGGGCGAAUUUUAAUUCAAUAAGAUAGGUAUCCUUGCAAAAAGGGGAAAUUUGAACAGCCAGACUCACAGGGAGAAUGCCACAAGAAGACUGGGGUUAUGCCAAAAAAGUACCAGAAGCUAAGAGAAAGAUCUGGAGCAGUCCUUGCCUAGCAUCCUCAGAAGGAACCAGCCUGGAUCUCAGCCCCUUCCAACACUCUUUCUGUGUUUAAACCACCUAGUUUGUGGAACUUCUAUAUGGCCAUCCCAGCAAAUGAAUACAGAUGCUUCCCAAAUCCUGCCCAUAGCUGUUCAGCAGCACAUUUAUUCCAACAUUCAGAGGCAGAUUCUGUUUGUUGCCCACCCUGGCUGAUACCAAGAGUGACCACAGUUCCUCAUUGUGGAAUUCUGGCUGGGUUAUGCACAGAUCUGUGCAUGUGUAGGGAACAGAAGGAAGGCUAGUAACCCAUGCCACUCAGCAGCAGCAGGAGGACUCAAAUUAGUACUGAUGGUAGCAGAGGAGAGGAAGGAGGACAAGGAUUUGGGGCUCUUGCUGGUGUUAAACAUGAUUUCUGUGGCAACAGAAAUGAUCACAAAAGAUUGUAGAAUUAGAUGGCUGUUUCUGUGUGCCCUGGGAGAAUUAUAAAAAAACAAAUGAGCAUGAACAAUUAAAUUCCCAUUUCAAGGUCUCCAUAUGGCAAAAUUCAAAGAAUCCCUUGUCUGUAUAACCAGAGGACAGACAAGUCUUCUUCAGAUCCUAAACAUAAUUGUGCAGGUGACAGAACUGUUGCAGAGGUGACCUGCUCAACCUUAGCAAGUUCCUUGGCUAAGAUGGGGACCCUGAUUGGGAAGGAGUAGGACACUAGGCUUGUGAAGAGACCAUUUGGUCAGAUCCAAAUCCCAAGCUUCCCUUGCCUACAAAGUAGCCUUUUCUCACCACAGGAGGAAAUUUGCCUUCACUUACAUGAAAACCUCAGGCGACUUCACCAGGGCCUUCACGUGAAUGCCUAUUCUCCAGACCUUCCCCCGUGUACCUCACCAACCCCAGGACCACCAUGAAAGGAAACUCCCAGCAGAGCCCACAGCAGGACUGAAGGACAGUCAGGGGAUGGGGAAGUAGAAGCAGAUCAUAUCCUGAGCCAGUUGGAAAAUGUUGCCCACAUGUGUUGGGAGGCAGCUGAGGAUUGAGUAGGGGAUUAAAUUCUAGAGUGUUCGACCAAGAAGGAUGAAAUGUAAGAUUGGAUUCAGUGAUAUUUACAAAUAUGCAUAUAAUCAUCCAUAAUUUAUUGUAUUACAUACCAGGGUGAUGAAAAUAUUUUGGAAAAAUGUGGUGGUGCUUAUGAAUAUACUGUGAACAUGCUGAAAACUACUGAACACAUUAGAAGGUAACUUGUUAAAAACAGAUGGUAAUGGAAAUGAUUCUUGUCUAAAGCAAUGCCAGUAAACUUUGGUCCAUAUUGACACCCCUGAUAUGAUUAGAAUAUUAAUAUUCUUAAAUUACUAUAAUUAUAGAUGUAAAAUUUAUGUAUAAUAUAAAAUAAUAUUACAUAAAUUAAAUGAUUAUUAUAAUAAAUGUAUUAUAAUAUCCACAUUUAUGCCUAUAUAUCUGUUCUUUAUAUUCUCCUUCGAAUUAAUCUUAACACAUUACUGAUUUCCUUAUCAAUGAAGGAGCUGAAAAAAAUCUCUGGCCCAUGUUAAUUUUUUUUUUAAGAGAGAGAGAGAGAAUUUUUUAAUAUUUAUUUAUUUUUUUACUUUUCGGUGGCCACAACAUCUUUGUUUGUAUGUGGUGCUGAGGAUCGAACCCGGCCGCACGCAUUGCCAGGCGAGCGCGCUACCGCUUGAGCCACAUCCCCAGCCCCCAUGUUCAUUUUAUAUUUACAAUGACAGCCACAUUUUCAACUCUUUGAAAAUCAUACUGAAGCAGUACAAAGGGGCACAGGGUUGUCAGGAUGCUGAAAUUAUUUCACUGUAGUUGAAAGGUAGAAAAAGCAGAGAGAAGUUAAAAAAGUAAAGGACCUUCAAAGAUACUUUCCCCCUCCUACCCUGGACAAAAAUGCUCCACUGAACUUAUACCCUGAGGCAAGAAAAGAUGCUAGUCCUUAGCCUGAAGCCAUUGGUGAGGCACAUCUAGAGAAGCAGUCAUGUUUAGGACACAUCUAUCCCUGUGGCAAUCUGAGAACAAUCACAGGGGCAACGGACACAGCAAGCUGAAUGUAGGGACACGAACAGUCAAAGAUAGCACACCACCAUUCAAAACUUCACAACCAUGGCACAUGUUUGCAAUCACAGCUAUUCAGGAGGCUGAAGCAGAAGGAUUGUAAGUUCAAGGCCAGCCUCAGCAAUUUAGUGAGGCCCUACCUCAAAAUAAAAAAAUAAAAAGGGCCUGUAAUCCCAGUGGCUCAGGAAGCUGAGGCAGGAGGAUCAUGAGUUCAAAGCCAGCCUCAGCAAAAGCGAGGCGCUUAGCAACUCAGUGAGACCCUGUCUGUAAAUAAAAUGCAAAGUAGGGCUGGGGAUGUGGCUCAGUGGUUGAGUGCCCCUGAAUUCAAUCCCUGGUACCAAAAAAAUAAAAAUAAAAAGGCUAAGGAUGUAGCUCAGUGAUAAAAUACUUGUCUAACAUGUGUAAGGCCCUGGUUUCAAUCCUCAGCAUCACAAAACAAAACAAAAACUUCAUAACCACCACAGGUUUGUGGUACCAUGAACGGAGCUGGUGGGGACUGGCUGAAAUGCCCAUGGGUUUGGUGAGAAACCUCAAAAAUCUCUUUUCAGAGGAGCUCAAAGGCUCCAAAUACAAAGUAAUGAUAAAGGGAUGGAAAAGCACUGGGAAGGGUGGCUCAUGCCUGUAAUCCCAGCGACUCAGCAAGCUGAGGCUGGAGGAUCACAAGUUCGUGGCUACCUUCAGCAACGUAGGGAGUCCCCGUCUCAAAAUAAAGAAUAAAAAGGGCUGGAGAUAUGGCUCAGUGGUUAAAUUGUCCCUGGGUUCAAUCCCUGUACCAAAAAAAAUAAAAAUGGAUGCAUUAAUUACCUCAAUUUGAUCUGUACCUACUGUAUACAUGUAUUAAAAUAUCACACCCCAUAAAUAUGUACAAUUAUUAUUUGUUGAUUACAAUUGACUUAAAAUGGCCUGGAGUUGUGACUCAGCAGUAGAACGCUUGCCUUGUAUGUGUGAGGCCCUGGGUUCGAUCCUCAGCACCACAUAAAAAUAAAAUAAAUAAAUAUAAAUAAAGAUAUUAUGUACAUCAACAACUAAGAAAUGUUUUAAAAGAAAUUGACUUAAGGGGCUGGGGAUGUGGCUCAAGCGGUAGCGCACUCGCCUGGCAUGCGUGUGGCCCGGGUUCAAUCCUCAGCACCACAUACAAACAAAGAUGUUGUGUCCGCCGAAAACUAAAAAAUAAAUAUUAAAAUUCUCUCUCUCUCUCUCUCUCUCUCUCUCUCUCUCUCUCUCUCCCCCCCUCCCCCUCUCUCACUCUCUCUUUAAAAAAAAAAAGAAAUUGACUUAAAAUGUUUAAGAUUUGAUCAUUACAUACUGUAUAUGUGUAUCAAAUUAUAAUAUCUUAUAGAUUUGCAUAAUUAAAAUAAGUAUUAAAAUAAAUAAGAAAAAAAUACUAAUUAACACAAUGAAAAAACCCUCUUCUCACAGAAAGGAGGAACUGUGCCAUACAAUGCUAUCUGUGUGACUCUGGCUUGUACUCAGGGGUGGCACUGGCCUGGGAUCCCUCUCCUAGACCAACAGCCCUGGCUCAGGUCCCUGCCACAAGGCCCAGCCUGCCCCUUGCCCUUCCCUUCACACCUACAAAGCAGGGAAAAUGAAAAGGAGCUAGAAAUGGGCAACAAAACCUGAGUAUUCUGAGAAUAGUAGGCCCAAAGCAAGAGGGAAAUUGUAAGACAUUUCUGUUUUCUGUUCCUAAGUAACACUGAUCAGUUCUUACCAAAAUUGUCACUUCUGUUAUCUGCAGACUUUCAUUCAUUUUGAAUUAGUUACUAAAUGAAGUUGUUUUCAGUUUUACAUUAAUUUAACUUUUUUUUUUUUUUUUUUUUGAGACAGGGUCUCACUAAGUUGCUCAGGGCCUCUCAAGUUGCUGAGGCUGGCUUUGAACUUGGGAUCCUCCUGCCUCAGCCUCCCAAAUUGCUGGGAUUACAGGUGUGCAUAUAUAUAUAUAUAUAUAUAUAUAUAUAUAUAUAUAUAUGUGCAUAUAUAUAUAUACACACCUGUAAUCUGUGCAUAUAUAUAUAUAUAAUAUCUGUGCAUAUAUAUAUAUACACACCUGUAAUCUGUGCAUAUAUAUAUAUAAUAUCUGUGCAUAUAUAUAUAUAUAUAUAUAUAUAUAUCUGUGCAUAUAUAUAUAUGCACACCUUUAAUCUGUGCAUAUAUAUAUAAUAUCUGUGUAUAUAUAUAUAUAAUAUCUGUGUAUAUAUAUAUAUAAUAUCUGUGUAUAUAUAUAUAAUAUCUGUAUAUAUAUAUAAUAUCUGUGUAUAUAUAUCUCCAGCCCUUUUUAUUCUUUAUUUUGAGACAGGGACUCCCUAAGUUGCUGAAGGUAGCCGCAAACUUGUGAUCCUCCAGCCUCAGCUUGCUGAGUCGCUGGGAUUACAGGCAGUAUGUGUGUGUGUGUGUGGAUACAAUGUCCUUAAUUUGCUUUAUGUGGUGCUGAGGAUCGAACUCAAUGCCCCAUGCAUGCUAGGCACGCAUCUACCUCUGAGCCACAAUCCCAGCCCCCAACUUUUUUUUUAAACUUUACAAUAAUAUAUGCUUUUGAAAAAGACUGUUUUCCUUUACAAAACAGCUUUCAAGUUCUCCUUCUUGGCUUGUAUUUUGCUCACAUUUCCAGCUUUAUUACUUCUCCAAAUCCUCACUUUGUGUUUCCUCUUAUAAAGUAGGUGCUGUGAAGGGAAGCCCAGAGAUCCAGGAUAUGGGUUCUAUUCCUGUCCCUGCCUCUACAGUCCUGUGCCCCAGUGAAGGCACUUGCCGUGAAGCCACCCCGUCUAGUCACACAUUCUGCCACAGUGCCUCCCAUCCUGAGGGCACAAAAUCAGUCACAAGCAGCCCAGGAAUAGGCUGACAAGUUUUUCAGGACUAGUUAAGCCAAGAAACAUUCUCUGAGUGUGUUCAACAGGCUGGCAGUGGGAGAAGUUUCUAGGAUUGAAAAAAGAAUCAAUCCUGGUUCCUGGUGUCCCAUCUUACUAGGGGAAUAUUCCCCAAGGGAGCAGAGCUACACACCAAGCACAGUGCUGGCUGUAUUUUCAAAAGACAUGUCAUUUGUUUUUCAUGAUAAACUUAGAAGGAAAGCAAAACUGGUCCCACUUUAUAGGUGAGAAAACUCAGGCACCUUAGAAAAGUUUAAUUAACUUGCCAAUAACCCACAUCAUGCUUGCUCCUGAGCUUUCCUUAGUCCCAAAGCAAAGUGUUUUCCGUGGACACAUGCCUUAAGUCAAUUUCAGUCUAUUCAUGGAAGCAGAGUGGCGUCACACUUGCUUCACUUAGCAUUACUUCCAAUAAAGAUGAGAGCUGUCCCUGCCACUGCUGCCAUUGCCACCAUCAUCAUCAUCUAGAGCCAAACAGCAUGGACUUCACAGAAGGCAGAUCUGAAUUCAAAAUUCCGCUUUCCCUAGUUCCCAGUCGUACGAGCACACACAAAUCUCUUAACCGCUUACUGUUUCACUUUCCUCACUGAUAUGUGUCUCACGGAGACAUACAAGGAUUUAAGAGGUAACCUAGGCCACACGCCUGCUACAGGCUUGUCCUAGGUACGUGUACUAAACAGUAGCUGUUACACUCUCUUCUGGGUUUUUCCAGUCCUAACCCUGAGCACGCCUGUGACAUGUCUCACCCCUGCCCGCAAUUCUGAAAUAGUUUUGGGAUCACGAGAAUUGAAGGACUUGUCCUGGCAUCCUCCCAAGCACAGGAAGAGGCAAGCACCCAGGAAAGGAGGAUGGUGAGUCAUAGAUGAUGACCUAUUGUGGUUUGGAGAUGAGGUGUCCAUCAAAGGUCUUGUGUUAUUACAGGAGGUGACAGGAUUAGAUUAUGGGAGCUAUAGCUGAAUGGACUGACUGGAUGAUAGCUGUGGGCAGGUGGGGCAUGGCUGGACUGUGCGGGUCACUGGGGGAGUACUCUGAAAGGUUUCAUAUUUCCUGCAGGCCCCUCCCCACUUGCCUGUCUGUCUGUCUGUCUCUCCCUCUCUCUCUGCUUCCUAGCCACCAUGAACAGAGCAGGACUCCUCCAUCACCUUUCGCCAUGAUGUUCUACUUCAUCUUAGGCCUAGAGCAAUGGAGUCAGCCCACCAUGGACUGAACCUCUGAAACCAUGAGCCAAAAUAAUCUUUUCCUCCUAAAAGUUGUUCUUGCCAGAUAUUUUGGUCACAUCAAUGCAGAGCUGACUAUCACACCUAUCCACACUGAACCACUCUUGCAAAUAGACCUUAGCUCAUUUGGCCACCAAAUGAGAUAGAUGAAGACCCUAGGUCUCCCCUCCCCAAAUUCCAUAAAGAGAGGUCAUUUUUCAAAUGGAAGCAUCACAGACCAAGUUUUGCUAUACACUCAAGCAUGUAUUAAACAUUUAUUAAGAAGAAAUCCCAGGUGUGGUCCUACAUCGAACUUCUGAGAGCUCAGGUCUCAGACCAUACCUUGCAUUAAAUGUUUUCUCAAAACAAAAAUAUAAUUGCAUCCUAAAAGUAAACUGAUCAGGCCAUCAGAAUCCUGAGCAGGAAACUGGACAUACCACCAUUGAAGUCAGGCCUUAGAUACCAUCCAGAUGGUGAGAGCUAAAAGCUUUUAUCAAUGUUAGCCAGCUCACUUUCUUGAAAAUAAUGAAUUUCACCAAUAGAAUUGCUUUUCUAGGGCUUGGGUAGUGGCUCCAUAGAAGAGCACUUGCCUAGAAUGCACAAGGCCCUGGGUUUGAUCACCAGCAUAUAUCUAUCGCUCUCUCUCUCUCUCUCUCUCUCUCUCUCUCUCUCUUAUACACACACACACACGCACACUUUGCUCUUCAAUUUAGUCUAAUUAACUAAAUCUUUAUUGUUGACUGGAAAAAAAGGCAGCUGGAUUGUAGGUGAUUUUAUGUGCCUAGCUAGCCCUAGAAUGUGUAUUCAUGAUUAAGAUUACAGUAUCUGGCACUCUCUCUAUGCUUAAAAUCAACUAUCAGAUGCAUAUAUCACCUAUAUCCUUCAUUAAAGAAUUUUAAGGCAAAUUAUAGCCAACACAACAACCACUCUCUUCCUUAUAUAAAUCACUGGGGCCCUCUGUGUCUGUGGCUUAGUUAAUUCAGCCAUUGAAAGCACCCACCAGGGGUGGAUAUAGUAGAAAGGUCCCCUGACAUCCACUUUAUAGGGACAGUGUUCUGAUCCCUUUAUGAUCUAGGGCAAUUUAUCUGACCUUUGUUUGUAUUUCCUUAUCUCUGGAUUUAUAUAAAAAUGUUAAUGAUUUACAAGCAUCUAACAAAAGUACAGCUGGUAUCCAACUCCUCAGAAAUCCCUCUCCCAAGUACACACCUAUAAUUCUAGUGAUUCAGGAGGCUGAACCAGGAGGAUCACAAGUUCCAGGCCAGCCUUGGCACUUAGCAAGACUGCCUCAAAACAAAACAAAACAAAAGGUUGGGAGGUUGGGAAUGUAGUUCAGUGGUGGAACACCCUUUGGUUCAAUUCCAAGUUACAAAAAGAAAAAAAAAAUAACAGGAAGAAAGAAAUUCCUUUCCCAAAGCCCGCACAGUUCCACAUGGACCAGGCUCUUCUCCCUGAAGAAAUAAGCACUGGGAGAAGGGAGGGGAAAGCAAAUCUUGUGUUUUCUUGUUAGUUCCUAUUGCAUCUUAAAAAAAAAAUAGAAUCUGAGAAAUUAUAUACAAUGAUUGUGAGUUUGUUACAUGUGCCAGGGAGAAUUAGAUAGGAAAUAUACUAAUGAGCCAUGUCCUAUUCCAGAUGCUUCCCCUGCAUUAUAACCAGUUUGUUUGAUUUCUUUACAAGACAGAGAAUCUGUACUAAUAACCCCCACAAAACAAGUGACCCAGGGCUGGGGCUGGGGCUCAGUGGUAGAGAACUUGCCUAGCAUGGGUGAGGCCCUGGGUUCAGCCUUAGCACCACAUAAAAAAUAAAUAACUAAAUAAAAUAAAGGUUAAAAAACCAAACAAACAGGUGACUCUCUCAUUUACACCACAGGAGUACUGAGCCAAAGGACAAAAGAUUGAAAUGUUCUCGCAUUAACUCUGAAAGGUGACUGAUCGACAGCUGGUACAAAAAUCUGCAUUCCAUUUUGUUUUAUUUCCAUUUUUUGCAGUGCUGGGGACAGAACUCAGAGCCUCAUGCAUGCUAGGCAAUUGUUCUACCACAGAGCAUUUUAUGUAAAAAGAAAGAAAGGAAGGAAGGAAGGAAGGAAGGAAGGAAGGAAGGAAGGAAGGAAGGAAAGAAUUCUGAUCAAUUAGAAGGAUCUUCAUAAACUGGAAUCUUCCUAAGGUACAAGCUACAUAUUCUUUCAGACUUUGACUUAGAAAUAUUUUCUUUGAGUAUUCAGCCAGCACUGGGUCAAUAAGAAUGGGACUUCCUCUUGUCCUGUGUGACAGCUGAUCUUAUUCAACAACAUACAUUGUGUUCCUCCUUCUUACACUUCUUCACAGCUAUUGGCCUUAAUAUACGUUUUCCUUCCAAAUUUUAUUUCAAGUAUGUGUUAUCCUAUAUUUAAUCUACCCCCUAAUGUCACCCAUCUGUGCAAAACACUCAUGUCCCAAUUAUAUUGUUACAUAUGUGGUUUAUGCAUGUAGUACAUUGCUUCAUUGGAAACAAGCUGAAAUGUUUAAUUCUCUUCAUGUCAGAGGAAAUACUAUAAAAUGAAGACAGAGAAAAUGUCUGUGAGCCUCUAGAGCUCUAUUGUUCAAUAUGUUAGUCACUAUGUGUGGUCAUUCAGAAUUCAGUUUAAAUGAUAACAUAACAUUUAUGCCUAACAACAUUUAGGUCAACAAUACCACAUAUAUAAUGGUGGUCCCAUAAGAUUUUAAACAGCUGAAAAUUCCUAUGACCUGGUAACAUCACAACCAUUGUAAAGCAGUAACAACACAUAACCCACAUGUUUAUGGGGACACUGGUAUGAACACACCCACUGUGCUGCAGUUGUACAAAAGUACAGCACAUACAAUAAUGUACAGGACAGAAUGCUUGAUAAUGCUAAGAAACAACUAUGUUACUGGUCUAUGUAUUUUUAUUGUUAUUUUAGAUAAUUUAUUAUUACAACACACCUACUUAUUUAAAAAAAGUGUCUUGAUCAAUUAAAAGGUUUACCGUGUUCUUCCCACAGCAAUUUCAUGCAUCUUGUACUUACUCUGCCUUUGAAUUUCAUCACUGACUGUAUCAAGAGAUCUUGGUGACUGGUUGACCCAUCCCAACUAGAUUUGGGGAAAUACAUUCUACAAUAUUCAUUCAACAAUAAAAUUGCUGAGUGACGCAUUUCCCAGAACACAUCCCUGUCAUGAAUGGAUGCAUGGCUAUAACUGAAAUGUUAACUCAGUUUUGCCUCCACAUUAGCCGCACUUCAGUUACUCCACAGCCACAGAAGGCUAGUUGUAACCCUCGAGUCUCCCAGUUGGAGCUCACAUAAAUAUUAGCUCUGUGAUACUGAUCAGCAUGUCUUUUAAAUUUGAUAAACACCAGCAUUGUGCUGGAUUGCUCACCUUAGUGUAGACUCUGAAGAAGACACACGUUAGAAUUUGGUUAAACUAACUUUUUGCAUUGUGACAGAGUCCUAAACCCUGAUGGGACAUCUGAAAAGAUGGAUCGGCCAGCACGGAAGAUCCAGAAACUCUCUGAAUUAUAAUUGUUGUUUUUAGAAUGGGAGGGGGGCAGUGUGUAUUAGAGUAGAGGGUGGUGAAUAUGGAGAAAAGAGAAUCUUAAUCCUCCUAGAAUUUAUAAGUAAGAACAUUUGAGGCUGAAUUUAACUCAGUAAUUUAAAAAUUAAGAAGACUUUAGGUUAAAUAAAGUGUAUAGAACUCAGGCAUUUAUUCUCUCUCCCAAAACUUGAUGAAAAUGAAAGCAGAUGGUAUUAAAAGGAUAUAAAUUUGCAAAAAGAAAGGGAACAAGAGGGUGGAAAACAGCAAGCUAGAUAGCAAUAACAUUUUAGAACUGGAAUGGGAUAGAAAUGGUCUAGAGGGUGAAAAAAUCACAGGUCUAAAGAGACUUGGGAGGUCUGUCAUCGCACAAAACUGAGGAGGAAAGUCGUGGCAAUCAGCUCUGACCAUCCCCUGUUUCCUCUAAAGGCACAGGUGAGACAUGAGUGAAAAUAAGGAGUGUUGGCUGGAUGUUUAAGAGACACCUUAGGGUCCUUUCCUCACGUGCAUCAUCAGGAAAGUAAAGAAAGUGCCUACUUCAAGAAAAAAGGCCUAUGCAGACUAACAUUUAGGCUUACUUCUGUGAAAAAGCCAGCUCUCUGCCUUGUCCCCCCAGUGAGGGGACAAGGUCAAAAACCAUCCAGCAUGAACCUAGGACCUGAAACUACUUUGUAGCGAUUUAUUUAGAAAUAUGAAUGGGCCACAGAGUAUCUCAGAUUCUUGGAAAAUGACUUUUUAUGAAAGACAGACAACAAAACAAAGAAACAAGCAAACAAGCAGAAGACAAUGGAAAAAUAAAAAGAGACAAUGCAAGAAGCAGAUGGGAGCUUUUUAAGAAUCUAUAAUGAGAGUUCUCAGAGAAGGAUGAGCAAAAUAAUGCAUUUUACACAACGACCGGAGAGUGUUUUUUAAAAAGUGGAACAGAAACAAGGAAAUUAAAAAAAAUAAUAAUAAUUGCAAAAAUGAAAAGGUCAGUAGAAGGGCUGGAGCCUGAGGUUGCUGAUAAUUUCCCAGGAGGUAGGAUGAGAACAAGCCAAGAUAAGAAAAAAAUAAAGAGACAGAAAGAAGGAGGGAGAAGACAAGGAGUUGGUCUAAAUGACUGUACAUCUGACAAAUAGUUUGUAAAGAAAUAACAGACAAAGGAGAAGGGAUAAAAGUACAAUAAUGUAAAACAAAUAAAAAGCACAUGAUUUCCAAGAACUAGAGAAUUCGAGUCUCCACAUUACAAGGGCCCACUUUCAGUGAAAAAUGAACUUUGAGGUCUCAAUUUGAAGAGAAUGAACAAAAAGAGGCCCAUGCUGAGGCGGAUGCUCAUGCUAUUUUAGAGCACCCAGGAUAGAAAGCAGAUCCUAAGCCCUUCCUGAGAGAAGAAGGGAAACAUCACAAACAAAAGAUUAGAAACCAGAUCAACGUUCAACUUGUCAAGAAAACACUGAAACUAGAAGGCAGAGGAACGAAACCUUCAAAAGCAUGAGGGAGAAUAUUUUAAACAAUUUUAGACCCAAACUAUUAAUCAAGAAUGAGAGUAGCAUGAAGACAUUUUCUGAUAUUUCAAAAACUUUCCAAAUAUACUUUCUCAGAAAAUACUAAAGAACAUGACUCAAAGGGAACUCCCUCAGCAAGGAUCCAGGCCAUGCAAAGGGUCUAGAAAGCUCGAGAUCUAGUGUGAGACAGGAAGUCUGAGGCAUCAGGGGAACCAGCAGCUUGAGACUUUAUCUGAUUGAGAGAAAUAGCCUUGAGAGGAACUUGACAGCUCUGGCAAUGUUAGAGAAAGAACUUGGGCUGAAUGGUGAGAUAAUUAAACAAAACUUUAAAUGAGGAAUGCUCAACACCAAGGAGAACUAAGCUUUACAAGGAGAGAAAUGUGCAGUCCUAAUAUAUAGAUCCGGCCUAUCUGUGAACAGUAUUAAUUUAAGCAAAAUAACCAAAUCACUGAAUGUUGGUUUUAACUAAAUGCUCUUAUAUUGCUAUAGUGGAAGAAGGGGGGGGGGUUAUCCUAUGGUUUGAGGGAAGGAUAAGAGUUGGAAAACUAAACCCAAUCCUCUGGCUGGGGGCGUAGCUCCAAAUAAGAGUUUGUGCUUAGUAAGUGGGAGGUCCUAGGUUUAGUCUCCAAUACAGUUAAAAUUUAAAAAAUAAAUAAAUAAAUCCUCACACUUUAUAAUGAAGUUAAUCUUACAUUGGAUCACUGAAAAUUAAGCAUCAGUAACAGAAGCAUAUUGUUUAGAAACAGGAAGGUACAUAGCACAAGAAAGUGCAAAAAGAAUUAGAGACUGUAGGACAGGCAUGAGGUGGGGGGACAGGAUGGAUCAGGGGUUGUUUUUCAUUUUAAGUUUAAAGAACAACAUAUAUUAUAAAAUUAUGUACUACUUGGUUACAUUUAAAGUGUUUUAAAGAAUUUUACAGAGUAGGUAUAAAUAAGGAAAUGGAUAGUAGACUCAGUCAAUCAAAAAAAAAAAAUGUUUCUAGAGAGAGCCGUCUAAACUCAAAGGAGCCCAGCCUUCACCGGCUAACAACAAAUGGUAAUAAGACAAGACCCUUUGUCAAAAUGAGGUUUGGAGGCAGUGAUUGCUCAGAGCCUAGAAAACAGUGAGAUGACAUUCCAGAUUGGAAUGUCAUUUUAAAUUUUUAAAAAAUGGUGGAAAAGUCAUCCUCCCUAAGGAGAGGCCAACUGGAGUUGGAGCCUCAGAGAUAGAACAAGGAAAGAGGAUGCAGAGAAUGAGCACAGAGACCUGGCUGCAGGAAACCUGUGAGGAAGGAGCACUUGAGAGCAGGAAUAAAAAGACUCUCUCCCAGCUGGGCACGGUGGGCACGCCUGGGAGCCCAGGAGCCCAGGUACUUGGGAAGCUGAGACAAGAGGAUAGCAAAUUCAAGGCCAACCUGAGAAACUUAGCAACUAAGACCCAGUCUCUAAAUUAAAAAAAAAAAAAAAAUAUAUAUAUAUAUAUAUAUAUAUAUAUAUAUAGAGAGAGAGAGAGAGAGAGAGAGAGAGAGAGAGAGAAUAGCAGAACACUCCUAUCACAAAAGAGAAAAAAAAAUCCUUCAUCUUCUUCAUCCCAUGACUGAAAAUUUUCACUAUUACCCCAGUACCGCAACAAAAAGAAAAAGGAACCCUCUUCAUCCCAUGAAUUUGAAAAUUGACAGAAUGUUACUCCAUUUCCUCCCUGCAUUAUUUUUGUGUGUGUUUUGUUUUGUUUUGCAGUGCCAAGUUUCCAACCUUUAUACAAGCUGAACAAGCAGUCUACCUAUCACUGAGCUACAUCCCCAGCCCUUGUUAAAUUCUAUUUUGAGACGGGUCUCACUAAGCUGCCCAUGCUGGCCUUGAACUUGCCAUCCUUUCUGCUGCAGCCUCCUGAGUAGCUGGGAUUGCACUAC
rnacentral:lncRNA from 1 species